CCCAAACCAAUAAAGUUUUCUUUAUUGGGGUUGCGGACAUAUCAUAACGAAGAGGUAUCGUAAUUGAAGAGGUUUGGAAAGACCAACCACAGAAGGUAAUAGUCCUGUAUGUUAAACGAGAAGACUUUAGAUAUGAUCCAGAGUACCACGGGACACGUGAAACCCUGGGGGAAGCAGGAGGGACCACCCUCCAAGGCUAAAUACUACCUAGUGACCGAUAGCGUAUAGUACCGUGAGGGAAAGGUGAAAAGAACCCCGGGAGGGGAGUGAAAUAGAACCUGAAACCCUGCACUUA
rnacentral:rRNA from 1 species